ACGGGUGCGUAACGCGUGGGAAUCUGCCCUUGGGUUCGGAAUAACAGUUAGAAAUGACUGCUAAUACCGGAUGAUGUCUUCGGACCAAAGAUUUAUCGCCCAGGGAUGAGCCCGCGUAGGAUUAGGUAGUUGGUGGGGUAAUGGCCCACCAAGCCGACGAUCCUUAGCUGGUCUGAGAGGAUGAUCAGCCACACUGGGACUGAGACACGGCCCAGACUCCUACGGGAGGCAGCAGUGGGGAAUAUUGGACAAUGGGCGAAAGCCUGAUCCAGCAAUGCCGCGUGAGUGAUGAAGGCCUUAGGGUUGUAAAGCUCUUUUACCAGGGAUGAUAAUGACAGUACCUGGAGAAUAAGCUCCGGCUAACUCCGUGCCAGCAGCCGCGGUAAUACGGAGGGAGCUAGCGUUGUUCGGAAUUACUGGGCGUAAAGCGCACGUAGGCGGCUAUUCAAGUCGGGGGUGAAAGCCCGGGGCUCAACCCCGGAACUGCCCUCGAAACUAGAUAGCUAGAAUCUUGGAGAGGCGAGUGGAAUUCCGAGUGUAGAGGUGAAAUUCGUAGA
rnacentral:rRNA from 1 species